AACGAACGCUGGCGGCAUGCCUAACACAUGCAAGUCGAACGAGAUCUUCGGGUCUAGUGGCGCACGGGUGCGUAACGCGUGGGAAUCUGCCCUUUGGUUCGGAAUAACAGUUGGAAACGACUGCUAAUACCGGAUGAUGACGAAAGUCCAAAGAUUUAUCGCCAGAGGAUGAGCCCGCAUAGGAUUAGCUAGUUGGUGUGGUAAAGGCGCGCCAAGGCGACGAUCCUUAGCUGGUCUGAGAGGAUGAUCAGCCACACUGGGACUGAGACACGGCCCAGACUCCUACGGGAGGCAGCAGUGGGGAAUAUUGGACAAUGGGCGAAAGCCUGAUCCAGCAAUGCCGCGUGAGUGAUGAAGGCCUAGGGUUGUAAAGCUCUUUUACCCGGGAUGAUAAUGACAGUACCGGGAGAAUAAGCUCCGGCUGACUCCGUGCCAGCCGCCGCAGUAA
rnacentral:rRNA from 1 species